AUACGUAGGGUGCGAGCGUUGUCCGGAAUUACUGGGCGUAAAGAGCUCGUACGUGGUUUGUCGCGUCGUCUGUGAAAUUCCGGGGCUUAACUCCGGGCGUGCAGGCGAUACGGGCAUAACUUGAGUACUGUAGGGGAGACUGGAAUUCCUGGUGUAGCGGUGAAAUGCGCAGAUAUCAGGAGGAACACCGGUGGCGAAGGCGGGUCUCUGGGCAGUAACUGACGCUGAGGAGCGAAAGCAUGGGUAGCGAACAGGAUUAGAUACCCUGGUAGUCCAUGCCGUAAACGGUGGGCGCUAGGUGUAGGGGUCUUCCACGACUUCUGUGCCGUAGCUAACGCAUUAAGCGCCCCGCCUGGGGAGUACGGCCGCAAGGCUAAAACUCAAAUGAAUUGACGGGG
rnacentral:rRNA from 1 species